rnacentral:rRNA from 1 species
AAUCAACGCUGGCGGCGUGCCUCAGACAUGCAAGUCGAACGAUUAAAGCUCUCUUCGGAGAGUGUAUAGAGUGGCGCACGGGUGAGUAACACGUAAGUAAUCUACCUUCGAGUGGGAAUAACGUCCGGAAACGGACGCUAAUACCGCAUAAUGCAGCGGCAUCGCAAGAUGACAGUUGUUAAAGAUUUAUCGCUUGAAGAGGAGCUUGCGGCAGAUUAGCUAGUUGGUAAGGUAACGGCUUACCAAGGCUACGAUCUGUAUCCGGUCUAAGAGGACGGUCGGACACACUGACACUGAAUAAC